rnacentral:rRNA from 1 species
CGUGCAGCAAGGAAUAUUGCGCAAUGGACGAAAGUCUGACGCAGCAACACCGCGUGGAGGAUGAAGGCCUUCGGGUUGUAAACUCCUUUUCUGGGGGAAGAGAUAGGACAGUACCCCAGGAAUAAGUCUCGGCUAACUACGUGCCAGCAGCCGCGGUAAAACGUAGGAGGCGAACGUUAUCCGGAUUUACUGGGCGUAAAGCGCAUGCAGGCGGUUUCUUAAGUCGGACGUGAAAGCUCCUGGCUCAACUGGGAGAGGUCGUUCGAAACUGGGAAACUUGAGGAUGGUAGAGGAGAGUGGAAUUCCCGGUGUAGUGGUGAAAUGCGUAGAUAUCGGGAGGAACACCAGUGGCGAAGGCGGCUCUCUGGGCCAUUCCUGACGCUAAGAUGCGAAAGCCAGGGUAGAGAACGGGAUUAGAAACCCCGGUAUUCCUGGCCGUAAACGAUGUCAACUAGGUGUAGGGGGUAUCCAACCCCUCUGUGCUGUAGCAAACGCGUUAAGUUGACCGCCUGGGGACUACGGCCGCAAGGCUA